AAAAAACUGGAUGUUUCCUGUAUUUUUGUGACCCCUGCUAAGGGAGUAGGUCGGGUAACCGGCGCGAGGGUUCAAAUCCCUCUUUCUCCGCCA
rnacentral:tRNA from 1 species